UACGGGGGGGGCAAGCGUUGUUCGGAAUUACUGGGCGUAAAGGGCUCGUAGGUGGCCAACUAAGUCAGACGUGAAAUCCCUCAGCUUAACUGGGGAACUGCGUCCGAUACUGGAUGGCUUGAGUUUGGGAGAGGGAUGCGGAAUUCCAGGUGUAGCGGUGAAAUGCGUAGAUAUCUGGAGGAACACCGGUGGCGAAGGCGGCAUCCUGGACCAACACUGACACUGAUGAGCGAAAGCCAGGGGAGCAAACGGG
rnacentral:rRNA from 1 species